rnacentral:ribozyme from 1 species
AAUUUUUUUUUUUUAAUUUUAACGUUAUUUUUUUUUUUUUUUGUUAUAUAUCAUUAAAUUCUAUUGGUAUAAAAUAAAAAAACACAAAGAAAUCUACAAAAAAUCCUUUUUCCAUAGAAAAAAAGAAAUUCAAUUUUUAUUCUAUAUCAUUUUUUUUUGAAAGAGAUUUUAAAACAAAUCACCAAAAUGAAAAAAA